AUCUUUUAAAAAAUUAUUUAUGUAUUUUAGGUAUUAACACCUUACCAGAUGUAUCAUUUACAGAUAUCUUCCCUC